rnacentral:misc_RNA from 1 species
AAAGUCGUAACAAGGUUUCCGUAGGUGAACCUGCGGAAGGAUCAUUAAAAAGUUUGGCUUUGGCCGACUGCGAAAGCGCGCGCCACCAGGAACCUCCGUCGGCGCCCUCCGGCCCGCCCGCACCUUCCGGGCGCGUGCUCUAAACUGGAGUUGGCGUACAAUCAAAUCGACGGGGGGGAAUGACCGGCCGGGCCCACGCGUCAACCCUCCGUGAAACGUCCCCUUUGCUUAGGCAGCGCACCUGCGGUUCGCCGCUGGCCGGUCAGUCUGCCCGAAGCCCCAACCGAACCACUUGUUUGAACUUACGUCCGAACGAACCAGUCUAAUGACUUUAAAACUUUCAACAACGGAUCUCUUGGUUCUC